rnacentral:rRNA from 1 species
AUGGACCUGCGAUGCAUUAGCUAGUUGGUAAGGUAACGGCUUACCAAGGCGAUGAUGCAUAGCCGAGUUGAGAGACUGAUCGGCCACAUUGGGACUGAGACACGGCCCAAACUCCGUACGGGAGGCAGCAGUAGGGAAUCUUCCACAAUGGACGAAGUCUGAUGGAGCAACGCCGCGUGAGUGAAGAAGGUUUUCGGAUCGUAAAGCUCUGUUGUUGGUGAAGAAGGAUAGAGGUAGUAACUGGCCUUUAUUUGACGGUAAUCAACCAGAAAGUCACGGCUAACUACGUGCCAGCAGCCGCGGGUAAU